ACGGCCAUACCAUGCUGAAUAUACCGGUUCUCGUUAGAUCACCGAAGUCAAGCAUCAUUUGGCGGGUGACCACCUGGGAACACCGCGUGCCGUUG